rnacentral:lncRNA from 1 species
CAUCUUCUCCAGCCUUUCCUCUUUACUUUUGUGUUAGGCCGGCGCCUUGCUCGGGUGUCUAGGGUUUUCUCUGCAGGGUUUGGGUAAUCUGUCGUUACCGCUACCCCGUUUCCUCUGCUGUACCAAACUCUUUUCUGCUUAAUGAAAAACGCGCCGCUCGGCGUGGUCUCGAAAAAAAAGUUACUUAUUUAUCUAAUCGAUCAUAAUCCUCAAUCAAGGUUUACAUUUAUUAUAUUUUGGUCAUCUAUGCUCAAACAAAGCAAAAAUACCAAGCUCCGACACCCCCAACCCUCGAAUAAAGUUGUUAUAUCACACAUUCGCUCUAUAAAUGGUAAUAUUUGUUAUACAUAGCACAAAUACUGUUUUCUCAACAUUUUUAGUUACUUAUUUAUCUAAUCGAUCAUAAUCCUCAAUCAAGGUUUACAUUUAUUAUAUUUUGGUCAUCUAUGCUCAAACAAAGCAAAAAUACCAAGCUCCGACACCCCCAACCCUCGAAUAAAGUUGUUAUAUCACACAUUCGCUCUAUAAAUGGUAAUAUUUGUUAUACAUAGCACAAAUAUUUCCUUAAGAACAUCAAAUGCACUUAAUAGGACUGUUGACAUACACAUUAAUCAGGAAAAAUACUCAGUGCAAACCAUC